UACGAAGGGUGCAAGCGUUAAUCGGAAUUACUGGGCGUAAAGGGUGCGUAGGCGGUUGUUUAAGUCUGUCGUGAAAUCCCCGGGCUCAACCUGGGAAUGGCGAUGGAUACUGGGCAGCUAGAGUGUGUCAGAGGAUGGUGGAAUUCCCGGUGUAGCGGUGAAAUGCGUAGAGAUCGGGAGGAACAUCAGUGGCGAAGGCGGCCAUCUGGGACAACACUGACGCUGAAGCACGAAAGCCAGGGGAGCAAACGGG
rnacentral:rRNA from 1 species